GUUGGUGGUGAAAUCCCAGAGCUUACCUCUGGAACUGCCAUCAAAACUUUUCAGCUAGAGUAUGAUAGAGGAAAGCAGAAUUUCUAGUGUAGAGGUGAAAUUCGUAGAUAUUAGAAAGAAUCCCAAUUG
rnacentral:rRNA from 1 species